GGUACUCGAGCGGCGAACGGGUGAGUAACACGUGAGUAAUCUGCCCCUGGCUUUGGGAUAGCCACCGGAAACGGUGAUUAAUACCGGAUAUGACAUGGACUCGCAUGGGUUUGUGUGGAAAGUUUUUCGGCCAGGGAUGUGCUCGCGGCCUAUCAGCUUGAUGGUGAGGUAAUGGCUCACCAUGGCUUCGACGGGUAGCCGGCCUGAGAGGGUGACCGGUCACACUGGGACUGAGACACGGCCCAGACUCCUACGGGAGGCAGCAGUGGGGAAUAUUGGACAAUGGGCGGAAGCCUGAUCCAGCAACGCCGCGUGAGGGAUGACGGCCUUCGGGUUGUAAACCUCUUUCAGUACCGACGAAGCGCAAGUGACGGUAGGUACAGAAGAAGCACCGGCCAACUACGUGCCAGCAGCCGCGGUAAUACGUAGGGUGCGAGCGUUGUCCGGAAUUAUUGGGCGUAAAGGGCUCGUAGGCGGUUUGUCGCGUCGGGAGUGAAAACGCCGUGCUUAACACGGCGCUUGCUUUCGAUACGGGCAGACUAGAGGUAUGCAGGGGAGAACGGAAUUCCUGGUGUAGCGGUGAAAUGCGCAGAUAUCAGGAGGAACACCGGUGGCGAAGGCGGUUCUCUGGGC
rnacentral:rRNA from 1 species